CCUCAAUGGGCAAAGGGGAAGAAAUGUCUCUGUCAGUGUGAAACAUUUGUGCUACACUUUUGGGGCUCCUAAAAAGAGCUGGAGAUUGAGCUGCUUUUUAGAAACCCAGAAGUAGGCUCUUGAUAUCAUCAAUCUUCCAAAGAAACAGGGAGAUUUGUCAGAUACAUGAAGCUUGGAAUGAGCCAGUUGAGAGACUGCCAAAAUAUUAAAUCAUAGAAAACUAGAAAUAGGCUGACUACAGGCUAGAGGAUUUCCUCUGUUACGAUGAAAAGUAUUUACAGAAAUUUAAAGCUGCUGUUUUCACAAAGAAAAGGAAUUUUUUACUCUGAAGUCUGUAUAGCUAAAAGUAUACCUAGAAAAAACAGUUUGGGAAAGAGAAAACAAACAAAAUGAGGAGAAUGCCUAAGGCAAGAUGACUGACAGAGACUUGGCAAAUAAAAGAACAUCUGCUGAAGGUAUGCGGCUGAUAUGGAGAAUAUGUCAAGUCAACUGGAUGAGUCAGCACGGGCAACAUAAAGGACUGCAGUUAAAAGCUAGGGCUAGGACUUGGAGGAUGUGUAGGCAAACGGAAGGAGAGCCGGGGGAAGAAAAACCGAAAUGGAUUCAUUCUCCGUCCUGGAUGGAGGAGGAGAGGAGAGGAGAAGGGGACGUGCGAGCUUCCUUCAGCUGCCUCUGUCCGGUGAAAAGUGCUCGAAGCCCCGGGGCUGCCUCGGGCUCAGGAGUCCGCGCGGACUUUCGCUGUAAGCUGCCAAUCAAACUGCUAACUAGCCACCACCCUGCUCUGGCACGGACAUGA
rnacentral:lncRNA from 1 species